rnacentral:lncRNA from 1 species
AUAUAUAUAUAUAUAUAUAAUUGAGCUAGAAUACUUUUAGAAGCACCAACCCUUUGGUGCUUCUAAAUUUCUAGCCCUUGGAUAUAUUCCUUAAUUACUAAUACCCCUUAGAUCAAACACUAUUCCACCUACCAUCACUUACCACCAUCAUCUCAACCCUACAUCUCUCCAUCUAAUACUUAAAAACUCAAAAGCACCACUCCCUUGGUGCUUUUGAGAGUAUUUUAGCUCAACUAUAUAUAUAUAUAGAGUGAGGCUACUAUGUUUCUAGAAGCACAGAGCCUUUCGUGCUUCCAGGUUGUUUUCCAUUUUGCGACUUUUCAAAUCGUCGAUUGGCUCCGUUAAACUUAAUCUAGAGUACUUGAAGUAUCUAGAAAAUAAAUUAUGCGAUUUUUCGAUAUUAUUUGCCUAGCGAACGAAAGGGCUCAAAAUCAACGGUUGAAAAUAAAAAUCUUACAAAAUGUGAUAAUAUGACAUUAAAAUUUU